ACGAACGCUGGCGGUAUGCUUAACACAUGCAAGUCGAACGGGCAUAGCAAUAUGUCAGUGGCAAACGGGUGAGGAAUAUAGAGGAAUCUCCUUAGCAGUAAGGAAUAACUCUGAGAAAUCAGAGCUAAUGCCAUAUAUUACCCUUCGGGGGAAAGAUUUAUCGCUGUUAGAUGAGCUUCUAUCGGAUUAGCUAGUUGGUGAGGUAAUGGCUCACCAAGGCAAUGAUCCGUAGCUGGUCUGAGAGGAUGAUCAGCCACACUGGAACUGAGACACGGUCCAGACGCCUGCGGGAGGCAGCAGUGGGGAAUAUUGGACAAUGGGCGCAAGCUUGAUCCAGUAAUACCGCGUGGGUGAUGAAGGUCUUCGGAUUGUAAAGCCCUUUUAGUGAGGAAGAUAAGGACGGUACUCACAAAAAAAGCACCGGCAAACUUCGU
rnacentral:rRNA from 1 species